UAAAGUUGGUGUAUCAUAAGCUAAUUUAUGCUACAUGUAUACAAUAAUAGCUUGCAGCUUAAGUAACUGCUCUAACUAACAGAUUAACAAUAUCUAGUUUGUCAUGAGCCGGCUCUAAUUGCUAUAACUGUAUUGUUGGCAUUUGUGUCUUCUUCCAUAGCUUGUGUAAUGAUGCAUCCAAACACUUUAUGUAAGUACUUUUUAGUAUACAUAUUUAAACGCUUAGCAUAAGAGCUUAUAAAAAUGUAAGCUCCAGUGUUAUAAACUCUAAUGCUAUAAUCAUUUGUAUAAGUUGUUUAUUCAAACGGACCCUUUGUUUACAAAAAAAUCAUAUUUACAAAAAUAACAUAAAUCAACAAUCUGAUUAGCUUCACAGAAAAUAUGAGCCACGGAGUAGCCGUCCUCCGAACCAUCGAGUAAUAGGGAUGACUAACAUUACACCCAUCAUGAAUCAAAUUCACAACAACCUUUGAAUUAGAUUCAACAUCAAAAAGCAACUUUAGCCCUAUGUAAUGGAGAAAGCAAUAGGAGAAGCAACAUAGCAAAAAAAGAAAAUGCUAGAAUUGUCAUGAACCAAGCCUCCACAAGCAACAAUGGCACCAUGGUUGAUUUCUAUAAUUUGUUCCUCUUGAUUUCUUGAAAGGUUUUACAAAAUCUAUAUCAAACAAUAGUCAAAUGAAAUUGUCAAUGAGUUUUAAUUUAUGCUAAGGUUUGUGUCACAAACACAAUUAAUUUCAAUUAUAUGUUAAAAAAAAAUAAUAAUUCUGGUAAUUGUUAGGUUUCCAGCAAAUCCAGCAUGUGAUAAAAACAAUAAAAACAGAAUCACAUUUAUUAUUACAACUAAGAAAUAAGAAAUUUUAAACCGAAAAAAUCAUUUGAAAUUCAUAUUGUUCGUAUCUUUAGCACAUUUUUUCAACUGAAUCAAAUCAAUUAAUUAAUCUAGAAGCUGGCUUCCCUUCAUGAUAAACAAGAAAACAGAAAAACUAAUUAAACUAUAACGUGUAAUAAACAAAUGUCAAAGCAAACUAUGAAGAAAAUUAAAUUAUAAAGAAACAAAAAAUAACAUAAUGCUUGAUAGAAAGAAAAUAACAUAAUUUCUUCACACAAAUUACAUCCUGUAUAAUAAUUUCCCUCAAAACACUAACAAGCCAUUAGUAAUUUAACCUUAAUUUUUUUCUUCAAACAAAACCGCAAAAUUUUCUUCUCCCCCUUCAUCUCAUAAAUAAUUUCCUUUCAUUCUCCUAAUUAAACACAAUGGCAUCACCUAAUGCACAUGAUGAGGCGAUGCCAUUGCCAACACCACAAUCGCCUAUGCCUGAGACAGUUCGCAAGUUGGUUUCCUUACAACCGGCAAACAGCAAAAGCAAACGUAGAUCCGCCAACAAAUUAUUUGGCAAAUUUCGUACUAUAAUCCGAUCGUUUCCCAUCCUCGCGCCAUCUUGCAAGAUGCCCAUCAUGAAUGACACAAUCAUACAAGGUGGCACGAGGAUAACUGGAACCCUAUUUGGUUACCAAAAAGCUAGGGUAAAUCUUGCUUUUCAAGAAGAUUCUAAAUGUGAACCUUUCCUUAUCUUGGAGCUGGCCGUUCCAACAGGAAAGUUGCUCCAAGACAUAGGAAUGGGGCUUAAUAGAUUAGCGCUGGAGUGCGAGAAGCACCCCAACAAUGAUAAAACAAAGAUAGUUGAUGAGACCAUUUGGAACCUAUUUUACAAUGGGAAGAAAACGGGUUAUGGAGUGAAGAGAGAUCCAUCAGAGCGUGACUUGAAUGUAAUGCAAAUGUUGCAUGCAGUAUCUGUGGCGGUCGGCGUGCUCCCGGAUGAAAUGUCGGACCCUCAAGAUGGAGAAUUGUCGUACAUGAGGGCACAUUUUGAACGUGUGAUUGGGUCUAAGGAUUCAGAGACUUAUUAUAUGAUGAUGCCUGAUGGGAAUAACAAUGGACCCGAGCUUAGUGUAUUCUUCGUUAGGGUUUAAUUGAUAUAUUCAGCUCUAUAUAUAUUCACAUAUUAAUUAAUAGAGUUAUUCUUCUAUGAACAUAGUGUUUUUAAAAAAAAGUGUUUUAUUAUAGUUAAAAAAAAAAAGGUCAAGAUCGAUUAUAUUGUUAAAAAUAUUUAUUUGGCAUGAUUUUAUUUUUCAUAAUACAUUCAUCUUGAUGUUUUAAUUAAUAUCUACAAUAUACUAUAUAUAUAAUUUGUUGUUAUUUGAUGUCGCCAACAACCACAAAAAUCAAUAAGUAAAUGAAAUUUAACAUCGACCAAAAAAUAAAAUAAAAGAGUGGAAUAAUACCUGAGACGUCACGAAGACUGUCCUUCAAGACAUAUAUGUUGGAUGUGUACAAAUCUCUUAAUUAGAGUAUACAUCAAGUCAUUUCUCAAUAGCAGAGGUAAUACAAUAACUCAAAUUAAACGAACACAUGAAAUGUUACUAUAUGAACUAGAUAUGUAUAUAUAAGAUGAGAGAAAAUUAUUAUUUUUUGAUGUUUAAUUGUUUUGUACAUGCGUGUGAAAUUUGUUAGUAUGGAUAGAUUGCCAC
rnacentral:lncRNA from 1 species